rnacentral:rRNA from 1 species
GACGAACGCUGGCGGCGUGCUUAACACAUGCAAGUCGAACGGAAAGGCCCUGCUUUUGUGGGGUGCUCGAGUGGCGAACGGGUGAGUAACACGUGAGUAACCUGCCCUUGACUUUGGGAUAACUUCAGGAAACUGGGGCUAAUACCGGAUAGGAGCUCCUGCUGCAUGGUGGGGGUUGGAAAGUUUCGGCGGUUGGGGAUGGAUUCGCGGCUUAUCAGCUUGUUGGUGGGGUAGUGGCUUACCAAGGCUGUGACGGGUAGCCGGCCUGGGAGGGUGACCGGGCACAAUGGGACUGAGGGACGGAGCAGACGCCAACGGGGGGCAGCGGUGGGGAGUAUUGCACAAUGAGCGGGAGCGUGAGGCAGCGGCGUCGGGUGCGGGAUGACGGCCUUCGGGUUGUGAACCGCUUUCGCCUGUGACGAAGCGUGAGUGACGGUAAUGGAUGAAGAAGCACCGGCUAACUACGUG